rnacentral:rRNA from 1 species
AGGGUUUGAUCAUGGCUCAGAACGUACGCUGGCGGCACGCCUAACACAUGCAAGUCGAACGAAGUAGCAAUACUUAGUGGCAGACGGGUGAGUAACAUGUAGGUAUCUGCCCUUUGGCCUGGAAUAACACGAGGAAACUUGUGCUAAUACCGGAUAAGUCUUUACGGAGAAAGCUUUAUGCACCAUUGGAUGAGCCUGCACUUGAUUAGUUUGUUGGUGGGGUAAUGGCCUACCAAGACUGUGAUCAAUAGCUGAUUUGAGAGGAUGAUCAGCCACAUUGGGACUGAGACACGGCCCAAACUCCUACGGGAGGCAGCAGUGGGGAAUCUUGCACAAUGGAGGAAACUCUGAUGCAGCGAUGCCGCGUGAGUGAAGAAGGCCUUUGGGUUGUAAAGCUCUUUCGUCGGGGAAGAAAAUGACUGUACCCGAAUAAGAAGGUCCGGCUAACUUCGUGCCAGCAGCCGCGGUAAUACGAAGGGACCUAGCGUAGUUCGGAAUUACUGGGCUUAAAGAGUUCGUAGGUGGUUGAAAAAGUUGGUGGUGAAAUCCCAGAGCUUAACUCUGGAACUGCCAUCAAAACUUUUCAGCUAGAGUAUGAUAGAGGAAAGCAGAAUUUCUAGUGUAGAGGUGAAAUUCGUAGAUAUUAGAAAGAAUACCAAUUGCGAAGGCAGCUUUCUGGAUCAUUACUGACACUGAGGAACGAAAGCAUGGGUAGCGAAGAGGAUUAGAUACCCUCGUAGUCCAUGCCGUAAACGAUGUGUGUUAGACGUUGGAAAUUUAUUUUCAGUGUCGCAGCGAAAGCGAUAAACACACCGCCUGGGGAGUACGACCGCAAGGUUAAAACUCAAAUGAAUUGACGGGGACCCGCACAAGUAGUGGAGCAUGUGGUUUAAUUCGAAGAUACGCGCAGAACCUUACCAACACUUGACAUGUUCGUCGCGACUUUAAGAGAUUAAAGUUUUCGGUUCGGCCGGACGAAACACAGGUGCUGCAUGGCUGUCGUCAGCUCGUGUCGUGAGAUGUUGGGUUAAGUCCCGCAACGAGCGCAACCCUCACUUUUAGUUGCCAUCAUUAAGUUGGGCACUCUGAAAGAACUGCCAGUGAUAAGCUGGAGGAAGGUGGGGAUGACGUCAAGUCCUCAUGGCCCUUACGUGUUGGGCUACACACGUGCUACAAUGGUAUCUACAACAGGAAGCAAAACGGCGACGUUAAGCAAAUCCUUAAAAGAUACCUCAGUUCGGAUUGCACUCUGCAACUCGAGUGCAUGAAGCUGGAAUUACUAGUAAUCGUGGAUCAGCGUGCCACGGUGAAUGCGUUCCCGGGUCUUGUACACACCGCCCGUCACACCAUGGGAGUUGGUUCUACCUUAAGGCAAGGUUUAAAACCCUUGACCACGGUAUAGUCAGCGACUGGGGUGAAGUCAUAACAAGGUAACCGUA